AGUGAACGCUGGCGGUAGGCCUAACACAUGCAAGUCGAACGGCAGCACAGUAAGAGCUUGCUCUUACGGGUGGCGAGUGGCGGACGGGUGAGGAAUACAUCGGAAUCUACUUUUUCGUGGGGGAUAACGUAGGGAAACUUACGCUAAUACCGCAUACGACCUACGGGUGAAAGCAGGGGAUCUUCGGACCUUGCGCGAUUGAAUGAGCCGAUGUCGGAUUAGCUAGUUGGCGGGGUAAAGGCCCACCAAGGCGACGAUCCGUAGCUGGUCUGAGAGGAUGGUCAGCCACAUUGGAACGGAGACACGGUCCAGACUCCUACGGGAGGCAGCAGUGGGGAAUAUUGGACAAUGGGCGCAAGCCUGAUCCAGCCAUACCGCGUGGGUGAAGAAGGCCUUCGGGUUGUAAAGCCCUUUUGUUGGGAAAGAAAAGCAGCAGGUUAAUACCCCGCUGUUCUGACGGUACCCAAAGAAUAAGCACCGGCUAACUUCGUG
rnacentral:rRNA from 1 species